UACGUAGGAUCCGAGCGUUGUCCGGAAUUACUGGGUGUAAAGGGCGUGUAGGUGGAUCUCUCAGUCGAUGGUGAAAUCCUGCAGCUUAACUGCAGAACUGCCGUCGAUACUGGAGAUCUUGAGUGCGGCAGAGGGAGAUGGAAUUCAUGGUGUAGCGGUGAAAUGUGUAGAUAUCAUGAAGAACACCGGUAGCGAAGGCGGUCUCCUGGUCCGUAACUGACACUGAGGCGCGAAAGCGUGGGGAGCAAACAGG
rnacentral:rRNA from 1 species